rnacentral:rRNA from 1 species
GGAUCCAGACUUUGAUCCUGGCUCAGGAUGAACGCUAGCUACAGGCUUAACACAUGCAAGUCGAGGGGAAACGAUAUUGGAAGCUUGCUUCCGAUAGGCGUCGACCGGCGCACGGGUGAGUAACGCGUAUCCAACCUGCCCACCACUUGGGGAUAACCUUGCGAAAGUAAGACUAAUACCCAAUGACGUCUCUAGAAGACAUCUGAAAGAGAUUAAAGAUUUAUCGGUGAUGGAUGGGGAUGCGUCUGAUUACCUUGUUGGCGGGGUAACGGCCCACCAAGGCGACGAUCAGUAGGGGUUCCGAGAGGAAGGUCCCCCACAUUGGAACUGAGACACGGUCCAAACUCCUACGGGAGGCAGCAGUGAGGAAUAUUGGUCAAUGGGCGAGAGCCUGAACCAGCCAAGUAGCGUGCAGGAUGACGGCCCUAUGGGUUGUAAACUGCUUUUAUAAGGGAAUAAAGUGAGUCUCGUGAGACUUUUUGCAUGUACCUUAUGAAUAAGGACCGGCUAAUUCCGUGCCAGCAGCCGCGGUAAUACGGAAGGUCCGGGCGUUAUCCGGAUUUAUUGGGUUUAAAGGGAGCGUAGGCCGGAGAUUAAGCGUGUUGUGAAAUGUAGACGCUCAACGUCUGCACUGCAGCGCGAACUGGUUUCCUUGAGUACGCACAAAGUGGGCGGAAUUCGUGGUGUAGCGGUGAAAUGCUUAGAUAUCACGAAGAACUCCGAUUGCGAAGGCAGCUCACUGGAGCGCAACUGACGCUGAAGCUCGAAAGUGCGGGUAUCGAACAGGAUUAGAUACCCUGGUAGUCCGCACGGUAAACGAUGGAUGCCCGCUGUUGGUCUGAAUAGGUCAGCGGCCAAGCGAAAGCAUUAAGCAUCCCACCUGGGGAGUACGCCGGCAACGGUGCAACUCAAAUGAAUUGACGG